rnacentral:lncRNA from 1 species
CGGGGCUGUCCAUGUCGACACUCUCUAGGCUGAUCUGUUCAACCUGGAGGAAGAACAGGAAAUGAUUUGGGACAAGCUUCUACAGCACAAGCAGAGGACUAGAAAGAGAUCAGCUGCAGGGGCUUUGGUCACGAGGACAGGCUGUGGCUUCCCACUCCCGCUUUCUGCACUCUCCUUACCAGCAGUGGCUGUGAAAGAGGCUAUUGUACAUUUUUGUCAGUUGGAAGAAAAGGCCAAUUCCAUCGAGAAUACCCUGUAAAUCUUUAGGACUUCUCACUCAGCCUUAACAAGUCAAAAUAAGAAGUACUGCUGUUGGGCAUCAGCAGGGAAUGCGCCCAGGGGAAUCUUCUGUCUGAAAGCUGGGCUUUGAUUUGUAAGAUUAUACCAAUUUGUCUUGGAAGUUAAAAAUAUAUAUGGUUUACUGUUAUUAGAUUAAGAAUUUUUGAGCAAAUCAACUAACCUUCACAGUUCAGUCCGGUGGCAUCAAGAGAGAACCCUCUUUGGCAUUCACAGCUGAAACUGCCUGGAGUGUUUUGACAGAUUCCCUUUGCUCCACAAAGCGAAGGUUGAGACCCACAUUCGUUGUUGUCUGGCAAAGCAUCAAGAAGCAGAGCGUCAAACUUUCCAAUCAUAACAUGUCUUACGUUUCAUGGGAAGUAAAAAGCAAUGUAUGAAAACCUAAGUUUCAUGAUGUGAAAAUGGCAUUUUGGGAAAAUUUAUACCAAAAUUCACUGUCAUAUUAAAGACAAAAGUGGUAAGAAAAAGUGUAUUUUAAGAGGUUUGAGAUUUGAGCAUAUUUUGGAGUGAUUGAAGGCACACUGACUAAAGUUCCUUAACAUGUGUCUUCUAAAAUAAAAGCUCAAUAUGUUUGUUAACAUGUUCUAAAUUACAGUGAGCCUUUAAUCAUAUUUUGUCUGAACACCAUGGUUGCAUUAAGAAUGUGAUAUAAAGGCACUGCUUGAAAUAUGGCUACUGUGCAGGUGCUUGGACUAAAAAGGCCUUUUUUUUCCCUUUGGAUAUUGUUCUUGAAAAUAUCUAUCUUAUUAGCAACUUCUUUAGACCACAAAUUAUGGGGUAUUGGUUACUGAACAUA